rnacentral:sRNA from 1 species
AUCGGCAUUGCUGAUGAGCGCUGAGACAAAUUCGGCGCUCGCAACUGCCGCGUCGCUUCAAACUUUUGACCACGGAUGUACUGGCACGGGUGAUUGGGCGAUGAUGAGGAAGGUCGGUGCGGUUUCGCCCCGGCCUUUUUUGUU